CCAUGCCCUUUCACUUUACCAUGUAGAUUGGUACAUGUCUAUAUUGGUCAUUCAGAAGGGCUACAACAAACAUCUUCUUAAAACCCAAGCAAAUCAUUUAUUUGACUUGAGUCCUGUCAGAGGAGACAAUU